CACACACUAACACUACAAGUCGAUCGAAGAGAGAUCAAGAGCGAAAGAGAAGAAGAUCGAGAGGAAGAAAGAGAAGAACAGAGGCGUGUGGGCGUGUGAGAGAGAGAGAAGUCGAAGGCAAGGGUCUGUCUAGUUAGGAUAUAAUGUUAUCAUCAAAUUCUGGAAGAACACACCUGGGCAAGAGGCCAGCAUCAAAAGCUCAAAAGAAUGGAGGCAAGAAACAAGCCACAGAACAGAUGGAAGAACCACGUGAAAUUACUGUCAAGGUCAAGAGUCAAGUAAUCUCUCUAUUUUUAGCACCAACAAAUGUUAAAGACUCUUUCUAUUAGUUCUAGUUUCUUCUGUGCCUCUUGUUAAUACGAUUUUGGAAUUUGAUUGCAAUUGUUCUAGUCUUCUUGUAAAUGUGUAUCUAAUCAACUUCUAGCUCCAUGUAGCCCGAUUCUACGAUAUCACAUUGCAUUUGGUUCUAAAAUAUCACCAUUGCAUUCAGUUCUGCGAUAUCAUGUCCAUUCUAUAUGAAUUUUACUGCAAUCUCAUAUCAUAUCAUAUCGUAACAUAUGUAACAUACACACACAUACGUUUUUUGUGAAGCUAAUGUCUUAGGCUCUAGCACAGAUCUAUAGAAUUCUUAAAAUUUAAAAUGAUUGUAUCCAAACAGAUUAAACUGAAUCCCUUGAGCCUUGAACAUACUAAUAUGUAUGUCCCAACUUUGUUCAUUAAUACAACAUAGUCAAACUGAUAUGCAUAUUUCAACAAGUGAUUCAUGUUUCAGAGGCACAAGUAGCACAAGUGCAAGAAGCACCACACUUGCAGAAGGCCUUGCCGGAACAUAGACCUAAAUAGUGAGGUUAUCGAUUAUAUUUCUGUUCUUUAACUUGUGAACUAGGUAUGUUGUGAUGGUUGUGAUGUCUGGGUUCAUGCCGAAUGUGCCGAUUUUUCUGGCAAGCAGUUAGAGGUGGUGUGGCAUUCAUGCCCAAUCUGUUUAAUCCUUUAAAAUCUGCAAAAUCUGGUGCAGCUCAGGUAGCAUGGACUAUUCUUGCACACACACAAAAGCCCCGGCUCCUGCCCCUGUUCAGGAUAAAGACAAACCAACUAAUGCAUCAAUUUUUGAUCGUAAUAUUGAGGAUGCUUUGCUGGUUUCCACAAAUGCCCCAAAAGAUGUUCUCUUGGAAUAAUCGAUGACGAUGUGCCUGAUAUCAAAAGUCUUUUGUUACGGAAUUUUUGUUGAUAAAAAAUUUGGUGUAAUAAUAUAUUGAUGUAUUUUAUUUACCAUUCUAGAUUUAGGAUUUUUUUUUUUACUAAUGUCAGUAACAAUGGUACCGCUCUUGGCGGUGGUGGUGUAGGCAUCGUUAGAUUUGUG